rnacentral:rRNA from 1 species
GACGUAGGGCGCGAGCGUUGUCCGGAUUUAUUGGGCGUAAAGAGCUCGUAGGCGGUCUGUCGCGUCGGCUGUGAAAACUCGGGGCUCAACCCCGAGCCUGCAGUCGAUACGGGCAGACUAGAGUGCUGUAGGGGAGACUGGAAUUCCUGGUGUAGCGGUGAAAUGCGCAGAUAUCAGGAGGAACACCGGUGGCGAAGGCGGGUCUCUGGGCAGUAACUGACGCUGAGGAGCGAAAGCGUGGGGAGCGAACAGG